rnacentral:rRNA from 1 species
CUGCGCCCCGAGUGGGAAUCGCGUUUAUUGGGCCUAAAGCGUCCGUAGCCGGUCUUCAAAAUUUUCUGUGAAAUCGUCCAGCUUAACUGGUCGGCGUGCAGAAAACACUGGAAGACUAGGAACCAGGAGGAGUCAGAAGUAUUUCUGGGGGAGCGGUAAAAUGCAGUAAUCCCAGGAGGACUACCUGUGGCGAAGGCGUCUAGCUAGAACGGGUCUGACGGUGAGGGACGAAGCCCUGGGGCGCAAACCGGAUUAGAUACCCGCGUAGUCC